GGACCCGUAGCUCAAUGGGUAGAGCAAAUGCCCGCGAAUGGCAUGGUUGUGAGUUCGAGUCUCGCCGGAUCCG
rnacentral:tRNA from 1 species